rnacentral:rRNA from 1 species
UACGUAGGGGGCAAGCGUUGUCCGGAUUUAUUGGGCGUAAAGAGCGUGUAGGCGGCCAGACAGGUCCGUUGUGAAAACUCGAGGCUCAACCUCGAGAUGUCGAUGGAAACCGUCUGGCUAGAGUCCGGAAGAGGAGUGUGGAAUUCCUGGUGUAGCGGUGAAAUGCGCAGAUAUCAGGAAGAACACCUAUGGCGAAGGCAGCUCUCUGGGACGGUACUGACGCUGAGACGCGAAAGCGUGGGGAGCGAACAGG